rnacentral:rRNA from 1 species
GACGAACGCUGGCGGCGUGCUUAACACAUGCAAGUCGAACGGAAAGGCCCUGCUUUUGUUGUGUGCUCGAGUUGCGCACGGGUGAGUCACACGUGAGUAACCUGCCCUUUCCUUUGGGAAAACUUCAGUAAACUUGGGCAAAUACCGCUUAUUAGCUCCUGCUGCAUGGUGGGGUUUGUAAAGUUGCGGCGGUUUGGGUUGGACUCGCGGCUUAUCAGCUUGUUGGUGGGGUAGUGGCUUACCAAGGCUUUGACGGGUAGCCGGCCGGAGAGGGUGACCGGCAAAAUUGGGACUGAGAGACGGCGCAGACACCUACGGGAGGCAGUAGUGAGGAAUAGUGCACAAGGGGCGGAAGCGUGAUGCAGCAAAGCAGCGUGCGGGAGGAGGGAAUUCGGGUUGUAAACCGCGAACGCCUGUGACGAAGAGGGAGUGAAGGGAAUGGGUAGAGAAGCAACGGCUAAAUACGUG